rnacentral:misc_RNA from 1 species
GAAAUGCGAUAAGUAAUGUGAAUUGCAGAAUUCAGUGAAUCAUCGAAUCUUUGAACGCACAUUGCGCCCGCCAGUAUUCUGGCGGGCAUGCCUGUUCGAGCGUCAUUUCAACCAUCAAGCCCCGGGCUUGUGUUGGGGACCUGCGGCUGCCGCAGGCCCCGAAAACCAGUGGCGGGCUCGCUGUCACACCGGGCGUAGUAGAUUUUUCGUCUCGCCCAGGGCGUGCUGCGGGUUCCGGCCGUUAAAAAGCCUCUCUUUUAACCCAAGGUUGACCUCGGAUCAGGUAGGAAGACCCGCUGAACUUAAGC